rnacentral:rRNA from 2 species
CCGGGGAUAACAGGCUGAUACCGCCCAAGAGUUCAUAUCGACGGCGGUGUUUGGCACCUCGAUGUCGGCUCAUCACAUCCUGGGGCUGAAGUAGGUCCCAAGGGUAUGGCUGUUCGCCAUUUAAAGUGGUACGCGAGCUGGGUUUAGAACGUCGUGAGACAGUUCGGUCCCUAUCUGCCGUGGGCGCUGGAGAACUGAGGGGGGCUGCUCCUAGUACGAGAGGACCGGAGUGGACGCAUCACUGGUGUUCGGGUUGUCAUGCCAAUGGCACUGCCCGGUAGCUAAAUGCGGAAGAGAUAAGUGCUGAAAGCAUCUAAGCACGAAACUUGCCCCGA